rnacentral:tRNA from 1 species
CGGGGAGUGGCGCAGCUUGGUAGCGCGCCUGCUUUGGGAGCAGGAGGCCCCGGGUUCGAAUCCCGGCUCCCCGACCA